AGUGAACGCUGGCGGUAGGCCUAACACAUGCAAGUCGAACGGCAGCUCAGUAAGAGCUUGCUCUUACGGGUGGCGAGUGGCGGACGGGUGAGGAAUACAUCGGAAUCUACUUUUUCGUGGGGGAUAACGUAGGGAAACUUACGCUAAUACCGCAUACGACCUACGGGUGAAAGCAGGGGAUCUUCGGACCUUGCGCGAUUGAAUGAGCCGAUGUCGGAUUAGCUAGUUGGCGGGGUAAAGGCCCACCAAGGCGACGAUCCGUAGCUGGUCUGAGAGGAUGAUCAGCCACACUGGAACUGAGACACGGUCCAGACUCCUACGGGAGGCAGCAGUGGGGAAUAUUGGACAAAGGGCGCAAGCCUGAUCCAGCCAUACCGCGUGGGUGAAGAAGGCCUUCGGGUUGUAAAGCCCUUUUGUUGGGAAAGAAAAGCAGCAGGUUAAUACCCCGCUGUUCUGACGGUACCCAAAGAAUAAGCACCGGCUAACUUCGUG
rnacentral:rRNA from 1 species